UACAGAGGUCCCAAGCGUUGUUCGGAUUCAUUGGGCGUAAAGGGUGCGUAGGUGGCGUCGUAAGUCGGGUGUGAAAUCUCGGGGCUUAACUCCGAAACUGCAUUCGAUACUGCGGUGCUUGAGGACUGGAGAGGAGACUGGAAUUUACGGUGUAGCAGUGAAAUGCGUAGAGAUCGAUAAGGAAGACCAGUGGCGAAGGCGGGGUCGUCUGGACAAGUUCCUGACACUGAGGCACGAAGGCCAGGGGAGCAAACGGG
rnacentral:rRNA from 1 species